CGAUAAUAAUAAUUAUUUGUAAUGCCUUUCAUUGGAGGAGAAAUCGGGAAAUACCACGUGUAAACGUUCAAAUGUCGCGUCCGCACCGCGAAGUGCGUAAAGAGAAAAAUAGAAAUUGUCUGUAGUUAUCAAUGAGAGUAUUUGAAAAAUAUGAAAAUAUAAAGUUGAAUGUUAUCAUUUGUCAUUCAUAAGAAAAAAACAGGAAAGGAUUUUUGAAAAAGCAUUCACAGUAACUGAUGAUCACUAUCCCCCUACGAGGUUCUCCUUCUUCUUGCCGCUUCUACAGUCACCGAUCAUCGCCACCCCCCUACGAGCCUCUCUUUAAGUUAUCUUGCCACAGAUUCCGAUUUUACAGCCACUGAUGAUCGCCGCCCUCCUACGAGCCUCUCUUUAACUUGUCUUGCCACACUUUCAGAUUUUACAGCCACUGAUGAUCGCCGCCCCCGUACGAACUACUGUUUGACUAGCUUUGCCACUCAUUCCGAUUUCACAGUCAUUGAUCAUCGCCGCCCCCCUACGAGCUUAUGUUUAAGUUGCCCAGCCAUAAGUUCCGGUAAGUGUUGCUGAAAAGCUUGACUAACGUUCACUUUUUAUGCAUAUUUCCGACUUUUUUAUGAGGUAUUUUGUAACUAGAAUAUGCAUUAUUUUCACAUUCACCAACGAUGACGUUACUUCUUCCCCUUUGACUUAGAUCCAUCCCCUUCUGCAUGACGCUUCUGCAAAAAUUUCGUAUGUGCCAUGUAAACAUUUUUAUAAUUAAUUUUUCUUUAUUUUUAGGUGUACCAUUGUUACCAAAACCUAUUAUGAGGGAGAGGGGUUUUAGUUGGUAGGUCCUCCUGUUAGGGAAUCCAACACUACCCAGUCGUACGGUCGGCUGGGUGUCUUUCGAAGAUUUCCCCUCUCCCACGAAAAAAAAAAAAAAAGAAACGAUGCAGUGACUUUUGCUGGUGUUCUCAGGUGGACAGAAUAACCAUAUUCUACUACCCACUAAUUUGGAAUUGUUUACAACCCCUUUUCUUCAAUAUUCAGUGUUCUGCAUCAAUUUCUAUCUGAACACGUAAGUUGCCACAACUUAACGAUUUUUUACCUUCAUUAAUAAUUAUCUUAGUAAUAUUUAAUUAAAAUUGUGUUGGAAAUGUUUAUAGUACAUUAUUGAAAGGUUUUAGUUAUCUACUGAAAGUUGUUAAAAAUUUAAUGUUACUAUUAAGUUAAACUGUAUUACUGUUUCUUCUAUUUUGUGGCCUUUUCUAUUUGGCCGAUUGUCUGUUGAAGUUACAUAAUAAUUUAUUUUGUACAAGUUUAUUUGUUACAUUCAAUAAAUUUCUUUUACUAUUCUUUCACUUAUUAUCAC
rnacentral:lncRNA from 1 species